rnacentral:tRNA from 1 species
GCCCUGGUGGCUUAGCAGGCAUAGCGCUCGAUUCGUAAUCGAGAGGCCGUUGGUUCAAAUCCAACCCGGGGCU